GCCAGGGGCGGGACGGACAGCGGGGCAGUGCUUCGUUUCUCCGCGGCCCGUCGCCUAGACAACCGACUACAGCGAGAUGGAGCCGUUACCCGGAGGGAUAGUGGGGCCGGAUCCCGGAACUCUGAGCCCGGAGCAACUAGAGCAGUUGAGAGAUUUCAAGAUCCAGACUCGGAUCGCAAAUGAAAAGUACUUGAGGACACACAAAGAGGUGUCGCUGCUCAUUAGCGGCUUCUUCAGAGAAAUGUUUCUGAAAAGACCAGACAACAUCCUCGAAUUUGCUGCACACUAUUUCACGGAUCCAAGACUUCCCAACAAGAUUCACAUGCAGCUAAUUAAAGACAAGAAAGGGGCCUAAUUAGCAAAGCCACAACACUCAGCUGCUGGGAGAAGCCAGAAGGAAUCCAGCCUUGGGGUCACCUGGAGGCCUGAGAGCCCAGUUGCCAUCAGUCUGGGUUUCCAAGAUGUAUAGGCCUCUUCCUCUCACAGAGGCCUUCAGAGCCUCUCAUUAAAUCCAGGCCUGCCUGUUC